rnacentral:tRNA from 1 species
GGAGGUGUGGCUCAGUGGCAGAACACUUGCUUAGUAUGCAUGAAGUCCUGGGUUCACUCUCAAGCACCACUG